UACAGAGGGUGCAAGCGUUGUCCGGAAUUAUUGGGCGUAAAGAGCUCGUAGGCGGUUUGUCGCGUCUGCUGUGAAAACCCGAGGCUCAACCUCGGGCCUGCAGUGGGUACGGGCAGACUAGAGUGUGGUAGGGGAGACUGGAAUUCCUGGUGUAGCGGUGGAAUGCGCAGAUAUCAGGAGGAACACCAAUGGCGAAGGCAGGUCUCUGGGCCACAACUGACGCUGAGGAGCGAAAGCGUGGGGAGCGAACAGG
rnacentral:rRNA from 1 species